rnacentral:lncRNA from 1 species
CAGAACAGCACGGUGAUAUCAGUGCAGACAUGGAAUGCGGGGAACAAGACAGCAUCAUUUUUUCUCUUCUCUGUGAGGAGAAUCUGGGACCAAAUGUUUGCUGAGGCUGUGCCAAAAAUGAAGGGAAGGGAAAACAAGAAUGUAUUCCUGGAGUGCAAGACCCGGUCCUGCAGAUAUACCCUUAUACCCUUCGUUAAAGGAAGAGACUUGGUCAGUAAUUGCUAUGAUAGGAGGAAAUUGAAUCACACUGAUAAAUGUUACCAGGAUCUAUUCCAUUUAAUUCCAUACCACUGCAAACAGAUGAUGGAUUUCCUAAUAAUGUCCUUCACUACUACUUCAGAGAAAUAACUAAUUUAAUCUGCCACUAGAUGUCAUUCCUUUUUCAUGCAAACAUGAAAAAUGUAAAUUUCCACCCCAAAAAAACCCAGUUAAAAAUGUAAGAUUUAAAAUGAAAGAAUCCAUUUGAUGUAUACAUACAUACAAAAAAACCUUUUUAUUCAUUAUUUUCCGUGUAUGAGCAGAGUGUUGUAAGCUUACUGAUGACUUUCAACAGAUCCAUCUGUAUUUAAAAGAUGUGAAAUGUUUUCAUAUACCCAAGCAGAAUGUGGUUUCAUUGUUUGGAUAACUAGUGAUUUGUGGUAUUGGUCCAUUCCAAUAGUAUUGGAGGUUCAACUAAAUCUCUUCUUGUAUUCAUUCAGGCCCAAAGAACUACUUUUCCUUGGUGGAUGUCAUCUGUCUGCUCAGAACUGGUUUCCUUGCUGCCUUUUCUCACAGCCCUUCUGAUUGUUUUGGGUUUUACUUCAUGGCUACCUAAACUUUACAAAGCAACAGCCAAUGAAAUUCUUCAAUUUUGGUGGGCCAAGUGAAGCCAUUUCUUUCUGAUUUUUUUCCCCCCAAGAAGAUUUCUGAAAGAUCUGAAUAGUCUAUAGAAAAGUCUUUGUUACAUAGUCUUUGCUAUCAAAGUCUUUGAUACCCAUAAAUUCACAUUGCAAAAUAUAUAUAUAUAUAUAUUUUGGGGAAAAAAAGAUUUUCACAACAUUAGUUUUAUUUCUUUACUUAGCUAUUAUUAAAUAAUACUAAAGCACAAUACAAUAAUAAUAGAAAAAGGAAAGAUUUCUUAUCUGUGUUGAUGACUGGAUAGCCUUUAGCAAAUGUUUCACUGCUCU